rnacentral:rRNA from 1 species
GACGAACGCUGGCGGCGUGCUUAACACAUGCAAGUCGAACGAAGAGCGAUGGAAGCUUGCUUCUAUCAAUCUUAGUGGCGAACGGGUGAGUAACGCGUAAUCAACCUGCCCUUCAGAGGGGGACAACAGUUGGAAACGACUGCUAAUACCGCAUACGAUCUAAUCUCGGCAUCGAGGAUAGAUGAAAGGUGGCCUCUACAUGUAAGCUAUCACUGAAGGAGGGGAUUGCGUCUGAUUAGCUAGUUGGAGGGGUAACGGCCCACCAAGGCGAUGAUCAGUAGCCGGUCUGAGAGGAUGAACGGCCACAUUGGGACUGAGACACGGCCCAGACUCCUACGGGAGGCAGCAGUGGGGAAUCUUCCGCAAUGGACGAAAGUCUGACGGAGCAACGCCGCGUGAGUGAUGACGGCCGUCGGGUUGUAAAGCUCUGUUAAUCGGGACGAAAGGCCUUCUUGCGAAUAGGGAGAAGGAUUGACGGUACCGAAAGAGAAAGCCACGGCUAACUACGUG